UAACGGCUCAGUAACACGUAGUCAACCUGCCCUGGAGACAAGGACAACCCCGGGAAACUGGGAUUAAUCCUUGAUAGGUCAUCUCAUCUGGAAGGAGAGAUGGCUUAAAGGGGUACGCGGGCUUCUUCCGCGCAUCUGCUCCAGGAUGGGACUGCGUCCGAUCAGGCUGUUGGCGGGGUAAUGGCCCACCAAACCUGUAACCGGUACGGGCCUUGAGAGAGGUGGCCCGGAGAUGGACACUGAGAGAAGGGUCCAGGUCCUACGGGGCGCAGCAGGCGCGAAACCUUCGCAAUGCGCGAAAGCGUGACGAGGUUAAUCCGAGUGACUCCCGCUGAGGGGGUCUUUGUCAGCUGUAAAUAGGCAGGCGAAUAAGGGAGCCAUAAUUU
rnacentral:rRNA from 1 species